CUUUGCCUGCCGCCAUCCACGUUAAGAUGUGACUUGCUCCUCCUCACCUUCCGCCAUGAUUGUGAGGCUUCCCCAGCCGUGCGGAAAUGUCAUAGUUUGUUUGAAAGAGCAAAAAGAACUGCAAGAAGCAUAUUGACAUUGUGUAAAUGAGAGCUGAACAUCAAGGAGUAUACAGUUAAUGAACAAAAGAUCAUUGCUUAGUGUCUAACUGCAGCAUUAAGGCUUGGUAUUGAAUUCACUGAAAAGGUGAUGUGACAGAGGACAAACGGGACAAACAGGACUCUCAGACUACUUAGAUUCCGGAAAUUUCCAGAGCAAAAUCAAAUCAGGAGUUUAAUGGAACCUGCCUCAAGACAGCACUUCACUCUGCAUUACACACUGCCGUAAGUCAUUUAAACAUGGUUCAGUCUACAAACAUUUAUUGACUGCCGUUUGUGUGCCUGUCAUUGUGCUAUAAUGCUAAGAACGUGGAAAAGAUAUUCCAGACCUCAAAGAUAUGCAGAGCUACAAUCCAGUGGCGAACCCAGCCAAGCAAUCAAUCCCAUUUUAUUACCGUUGUAAGGGAAUAUGCUGGACACAGUGGGAGUAACGAGGAAGAAUACACAACCCAAUCUGAAGCGGGGCAGGGAGGGCUUGUCGCAGAGGCUGGCACCUCCACUGUCCUUGGUGGCUAAGAUGAAGUAAGGUAGUCUGAGAAGAUGAAAAGUUUUGUUGUUGUUGUUCAUUUGUUCUGAGGUAAUAGCAACCGCAUGAACAGAAAGAUGACAGGCCUACAACACACUCCAUACAGCUGGCGCAGAAUUUGGUGAUUUCCAUUAAUCAAGGCAACAGAUGCUUAUUUUAAUAAUUUAGUAGUUUCUAUAAGUCUGUCUAUAUUCUUCAUUUCUAUAUGUAUAAGUUUAUAAAGCAAAAAACACUACCAACAUCAAUUGAUGUUAAUAUUUCUGUGUAUUUCUGUUCAUUGUUUUUUCAAAGUAGCUACAUAAAUUUUAUUAAAUUGGAGUCAUCGAAUAUGUAGUUUGAUACCCGGUUUUCAACUUAAUAUUGCAAACAUUUUCACAUGCCAUUAAAUAUUUUAAGUUAUCUUUAAAAAUUGUUUAUUAGCAACUGCAAAAUAUGCCAUCAUCAAAAUGUACCAAAGUAUAUUUAAUCGUGACCUUUGUUUUGGCAUUUAGUGAUUUAUAGUUUUUUAAGAACUAUGAAAAAUUAAUAUACACACAUAUAAUAUCUGUGAUUAUCUUUUAGCAUAGAUUUUGAGAACUAGGAUUAUGGGGGAAAGAAUACAUUUUUAGAGAUUUUCGUAUGCAUUUUCAAACUGCUUUCCAGGAAGAAUACAUUCUUACCAAUAGUAUAUGAGAGGUUUCAUUGUCUAAGUAUCUCUUAUCAUACCUAUAUCUUUAUUAGCUGGAUAACUAACUGUUUUAUCUUGGUCUAACUUUGCAUUUUGAAUAUCAAAAUAAACAUGAAGGUUUUUGUUCACAUUAUAUGUAGUAGUAAUUCUUAUUAAGCCACUCUGACAGCAUGAGCUCAUGGUUAACAUUAAAACUUAGAAAGAAAAAAUCUGAUACUUAAAACUGUGUUUUUUAAAAUGAGAGAACUUUAAAAGGAUAGCUUUUCUCAGUAACGGAUUUUUUAAAUCACUCCUUAUCAAAUGACUGGCGAUGUGCUCUAUUACUAUUAAUAAAGAAAUAUAUAGCAG